rnacentral:rRNA from 1 species
GGGUCAGUAGGUUGGUCGUGCCACCGGUACGUACUGGUCUCACUGAUUCCUCCUUCCUGAAGAACCGUAAUGCCAUUAAUUUGGUGUCGCGGGGAAACAGGACUGUUACUUUGAAAAAAUUAGAGUGUUUAAAGCAAGCUAACGCUUGAAUACAUUAGCAUGGAAUAAUGAAAUAGGACGAUCGAUCCUGUUUUGUUGGUUUCUAGGAUUGACGUA